GGCUUUCGUAGCUCAGUUUGGUUAGAGCGUGUGGCUGUUAACCACAAAGUCGCUGGUUCAAUCCCAGCCGAUGCCG